UACGUAGGGGGCAAGCGUUGUCCGGAUUUAUUGGGCGUAAAGAGCGUGUAGGCGGCCAGGUAGGUCAGCUGUGAAAACUCGAGGCUCAACCUCGAGACGUCGGUUGAAACCACCUGGCUAGAGUCCGGAAGAGGAGAGUGGAAUUCCUGGUGUAGCGGUGAAAUGCGCAGAUAUCAGGAAGAACACCCCGUGGCGAAGGCGGCUCUCUGGGACGGUACUGACGCUGAGACGCGAAAGCGUGGGGAGCGAACAGG
rnacentral:rRNA from 1 species